ACUCCUACGGGAGGCAGCAGUAGGGAAUCUUCGGCAAUGGACGGAAGUCUGACCGAGCAACGCCGCGUGAGUGAAGAAGGUUUUCGGAUCGUAAAGCUCUGUUGUAAGAGAAGAACGAGUGUGAGAGUGGAAAGUUCACACUGUGACGGUAUCUUACCAGAAAGGGACGGCUAACUACGUGCCAGCAGCCGCGGUAAUACGUAGGUCCCGAGCGUUGUCCGGAUUUAUUGGGCGUAAAGCGAGCGCAGGCGGUUAGAUAAGUCUGAAGUUAAAGGCUGUGGCUUAACCAUAGUAGGCUUUGGAAACUGUUUAACUUGAGUGCAAGAGGGGAGAGUGGAAUUCCAUGUGUAGCGGUGAAAUGCGUAGAUAUAUGGAGGAACACCGGUGGCGAAAGCGGCUCUCUGGCUUGUAACUGACGCUGAGGCCCGAAAGCGUGGGGAGCAAACAGGAUUAGAUACCCUGGUAGUCCACGCUGUAAACGAUGAGUGCUAGGUGUUAGACCCUUUCCGGGGUUUAGUGCCGUAGCUAACGCAUUAAGCACUCCGCCUGGGGAGUACGACCGCAAGGUUGAAACUCAAAGGAAUUGACGGGGGCCCGCACAGGCGGUGGAGCAUGUGGUUUAAUUCGAAGCAACGCGAAGAACCUUACCAGGUCUUGACAU
rnacentral:rRNA from 1 species